GGGCGAAUAGCUCACUGAUAGAGUGCAUGCUUACAAGCAUGAGGUCCUGGGUUCAAUCCCCAGCACCUCCA
rnacentral:tRNA from 1 species